AGAAAAAAAAGCAGAGCAGGGUGUUUCACAGUGUGUGUCCUCGUUGGCUUGCCGUAGCUCUCCAGCUGUCAGCGCUUCGCUUUUUCCUCCGCAGGCUGUUACGGGGAGUAAAUGGUCCUCCUCUUCCUCUCCAGGUGAAGGCCAGCCGAGGCUGUGAUGCUGUGACUGCUGCCUCCUGGUCCUGUGAGAGCCGCUGCAGGACGGCCACAGCUGCUGCACGCCGUCUGCACAGCUGAGAUGCGGCUGCAGCGAGCAGUGAUGCCUCAGCAGCUGCUGGUGUGUAAAGAAGAGGUUCCCCCUGAGCAGCAGGAGUGCA